AUUGAACGCUGGCGGCAGGCUUAACACAUGCAAGUCGAGCGAGCGGCGCACGGGUGAGUAACGUCUGGGAAACUGCCUGAUGGAGGGGGAUAACCAUUGGAAAGGGUACCUAAUACCGCAUACCAUCAGAUGUGCCGAGAUGGGAUUAGCUAGUAGGUGGGGUAAUGGCUCACCAAGGCGACGAUCCCUAGCGGGGCUGAGAGGAUGACCAGCCGCACUGGCACUGAGACACGGUCCAGCCUCCUACGGGAGGCAGCAGUGGGGAAUAGUGGACAAUGGGCGCAAGCCUGAUACAGCCAUGCCGCGUGGGUGAAGAAGGCCUUCGGGUUGUAAAGCACUUUCAGCGUGGAGGCGGUACUCGCAGAAGAAGCACCGGCUAACUCCGUGCCAGCAGCCGCGGUAAUUC
rnacentral:rRNA from 1 species